GGUAUGGUAUGAAUCAGGUGGUGUCCGUUCUGGGAGGUAGAGGUGGCAGACUUGCAUAUGCCUUUCUGAUAAAUUUCACCACAAUAGAAUUCUUUGAAUUGUGUGUCUCCCUUCAUUCAUCAGGACCACUAUAUAUAUAUACACAUUAUAAUCAACUGUUACAGACUGUUACAUAUCUACAAGCCUUAGGGAUUCCAGCCAUUAAUCACAACUAUAAUCAAGCUACUCCUAAAUAUAAGGUAACUGCAACACUCAGUAGCACCACAUUAAUCUGAAAUAAAUAACAAUAAUAUCACAAUAAUCCCAAUACCCCCCCUCAAGUUGGAGCAUGAAGAUCUCGAAUGCCUAACUUGCGAAGGAGGAACUCAAAUUGUGCUUUUCCCAAGGCCUUUGUAAAAAUGUCCGCUAAUUGUACUGAUGUAGGAACAUACAGUGGACAGAUAAUUCCAGCCACCACGGCAUCACGGACAAAGUGACAAUCAGCUUCAAUAUGCUUUGUUCGUUCAUGAAACACAGGAUUUUGAGCUAUAUGCAACGCUGAUUUACUAUCACAGUAUAAUUGCAUCCCUUGGGAAUGACUAACUCCCAAAUCACCAAGUAACUGCUUGAGCCAUUUUAACUCACAUGUAGUCAUCGCCAUAGAGCGAUACUCAGCCUCUGCAGAAGAACGAGAGACGGUUGGCUGUUUCUUAGUUUUCCAAGACACCGGAGAAAGACCAAGUAACACCACCCAUCCAGUCAAAGAACGUCUCGUAAGGGGACAACUCGCCCAAUCCGAGUCACACCAUCCCUCUAGUUUCAAUUCACUAUCAGACCGAAGUAGAAUACCUUGGCCCGGGUGUUUCUUCAAGUAUCUAACAACCCUUAAGGCUGCUUCCCAAUGCUCUUCACAUGGUUUCUGCAUAAACUGAGACAAAAUAUGUACAGAAUAGGCAAGAUCUGGUCUAGUCACAGACAAGUAAAUCAACCUCCCAAUAAGUCUUCGAUAUGGUUCUGGAUCUUCAAGUGGCUUACCAGAAACCAAUGCUAGCUUAUGGUGCUGUUCCAUCGGAAAAUCUGCAGGCUUGGCGCCUAAUAAACCUGUUUCAUCAAUAAUUUCCAACGCAUAUUUUCUCUGGCAUAGAUAGAUUCCCUCGUGAUUACGAGCUACCUCCAGCCCCAAAAAAUAUUUCAAGACUCCCAGAUCCUUCAUAUGAAAGCAUACACCUAAGUAAGCUUUAAAAAUUUUCAAGGCUGCAAUAUCAUUCCCUGCUAUAAUCAAGUCAUCCACAUAAACUAGCACGUUGAUCUGUAUUUCUCCCCUAUGCAAAGUAAAGAGUGAGUAAUCUGAAUAGGAUUGAACAAAUCCAUAUCGCUUCAAUGCCGUUACCAACUUAGCAAACCAACAACGAGGAGCUUGUUUCAAACCGUACAAUGACUUUUUCAACCUGCAAACUAGAUUUGGGUCAGUGUUUUUAAAACCUGGAGGAACUUUCAUAUACACCUCCUCUUCCAAGUCACCAUGGAGAAAGGCAUUGUGUACAUCCAUUUGAUGUACUUCCCACUUUUUAAUUGCUGCCACCGCCAAGAAGGUACGAACAGUGACCAUUUUUGCCACCGGGACAAAUGUCUCAUCAUAGUCUAUUCCCUCUAUCUGAUGGUGCCCGAAUACAAUAAGUCUUGCUUUCAAUCGUUCUAUACUCCCAUCUGAGUGAUGUUUUAUUUUAUAUACCCAUUUACUUCCGAGUGCUUUCUUCCCGGGCGGCAGUUUCUCCAUAACCCAUGUCUCAUUGUCUUCCAAGGCUUGUAUCUCAUUGCGCAUUGCAUCACGCCAACCAGAAUCUUUUACGGCUUCCUUAAAAUUAUUUGGUUCUUUCCCUGCUGUCACAGCUGCAACAAAAUUUCGAUGUCUAAUAGAAAAUCGUUCACAAGAUACAAAGUAAGUAAUAGGAUAAGGAGUACCUGAGGCAUCUUCUUGGGCAGAUGAACUUUUCGAUGACUUUACUUUUCGGAUCGUAUGAGUGACAAAAUCCUUGAGUUUUAUAUUCGGAACUUUGUUUCUCAUCCCCCUUCCCAUCUCAGAUGCCACGAUUGCCUCCCUCUCAGCAACCACCUCUGGCUCUCCGGGCUCCACAUCAUCCUCCUGCAUCACCACAACAUCAGCCCCAUCAACUUCGUGUGCGGGUUCUACCUCGCCCUCUAUACCACUUACACUUAAUCCCUCAUUGGCUGCCACAUCAGCUCCAUUACAGUCUCCGUGCAACCCCCCUUGGAGCUGUGUCUGCUCAUUGUCUUGCAAGGCCAUGGAUGCACCCCCUCCUUCAAAUGAUGCAUCAUAAGUUUCAAACCCAAUAUCUUCAGUAACAUACUCAGAAUCAAUAAAAGGAGUAGAAUGAGUUGUGUCUAGUUGCACAUCAAAUGGAAAUUCAUGUUCAUAAAAUUUCACAUCUCUAGAGACAAUGUAUUCUUUGGAUUCCAAAUCAUACAAUUUCCAUCCUUUUUUCCCAUAGGGAUACCCCACAAAUAUGCACUUGCGACUUCUACUUGCAAACUUAUCCCCGUCACGUCGUUGAUUAUGGGCAUAACAUAAGCAACCAAAAAUCUUCAUGUUAUGAAAUUUAGGAACUUUACCAAAUAGUUUUUCAUAAGGUGUCUUAUAAUUCAACACACUAGACGGUGUUCGAUUAAUCAAAUAGCACGCUGUCAACACACAUUCACCCCAGAAUUGCAUUGGUAAAUGACCCUGAAAUCUAAGUGCUCGUGCCACAUUCAUUAUAUGCUGAUGUUUUCGUUCAACUCUCCCAUUUUGUUGUGGAGUACCCACACACGACGUCUCAAACACAAUUCCGUUAUUAAAAAAAUAAUCACGUAGACAAUUAAAUUCGGUGCCAUUGUCACUACGUACUUUCUUUAUUUUCUUAUCAAAUUGUCUAUCAACAAAUGCCACAAAAUUCAGAAACAUAGUCUCAAUCUCAGUCUUAUUGCAUAACAAAUAAACCCAAACAGCACGUGAAUAAUCAUUAACAAUUGUCAAGUAAUAUUGCGCCCCACACGACGAACGAGUUCGAUAAGACCCCCAUAAGUCACAAUGAACUAAUUCAAACAAACUCGCUGCAUUAUUCUCACUUAAUGGAAAACUAUCCCUAUGUUGUUUGGCACGAGGACAAACAUCACAAGGUCUAUUAUUCUUGCUCCUACUAUGCUGACUGACAUGAGGAAUGAACUUUAACACCUUUUCUGACGGAUGACCCAAACGUUUAUGCCAUAAAUCCAUUGUUGAAUCCCCUUCCACCAUCAAGGCAUGCACCUUCGGAACACCCCGAAAAAAGUAAAGUCCAUCGAUCCGUUCACCUGCUCCAAUCAACGUCCUCGUCGUCCGGUCCUGUAUUACACACAAUGCAUUAGUAAAUUGAACGAUACAAUUAGAGUCAUCGAUUAGUUGAGUAACAGAAAUUAAGUUGCAAGUUAAUUGAGGCACAAAAAGAACAUUAUUGAGCCGCAAUCCACCAUCCAAAAUCACACUGCCCUCUUGUAUAGCAGUCGCAUCUUUCCCAUUCGGCAAGCCCACCGGAGUGUUUGUAAUUCUUUUUCCGUUAAUCAGACAAGAAAAAUUUCCUGUCACAUGGUGUGAGGCACCCGUGUCAAUAAUCCAAGAAAUAUCAUUCUUACCGUGCAGGCGAUCCUUGGUUUUGGAAAUAUUCAAAGCGUCAAGAAUUUGUUGCCAUUGCGCCGGAGUAAUGCCUGAUAUACCUGCUGCCUCACUUGAGUGUGGUGGUGCAUGAGACUGUCCACUAUUACCACCAAUACUACGGCUACUUGUCGUGGCUUUGUUGGCUCGUGCAGGUGCGUUAUAGGUGCCCCUGCCACGUCCUCCAGAACGGCCUGUUGUGUCUCUCCCUGUUGUCGCUCCGCCACGACCCGAUCCACGACCACCACGAGGACGAUCUCCCCACCACUCAGGGAAUCCAUGAAUCUGAAAACAUGUGCGUUCGUCGUGUCCUUCUCUGUUGCAGUGAGUACAGAAUUUGUCAGAAUUGUCCACAAGUUUAGAUUUACCUCGUGUAUCGGGAGCAACUUUAAAAGCCAUGACAUUAUCACGGUUCUGUUGAAUUGAAUAUUCUCCUUGCCGCAACCUCUCAUCCUGUAUGACUCGCUGAUAUGCUUGAUCAAUGUUUGGUAACGGAUCUUGAGAAAGCAAAUUUGAUCGAAUUAUUGCAUAAGCCCCAUCAAGGCCCAUAAGAAAAUGAUGCAGAUAGUCUUCAGCACUCAAAUCAGUGACUUGUUUGUUGAUAUCACAGAUGCAACCUUCACAUUUGCAUGUUGGCUUUUUGACAUAAGUCACAAGUUCGUCCCAUAUACGAGACAGACGGCCAAAGUAGGCCGACACCUCUUCACCUUUGCCUUGCUUGCAUUCUCCUAGCGAUGCCUUUAAUUGACAUAUACGAGCCCCAUUCACAACGCAAAAGCGCUGCUUAAGAUGUGUCCACAAUGAUUCUGCAUCAUCAUAAUAAGAAAGAGUAGAGCGCAGUGAUGGCUCGAUAGUGUUGAGCAACCACGCUAUGAGCAUCGACUGCACUGCUUUCCAGUCCUCCAAUUUCUCAGGUGUCGUUGGUUUUGGGAUUUUCCCUUCCACAAAACCGUAUUUUCUCUUUGCUUGGAACGAGGUUCGAAUUGCCCUUGACCAUUCAUCAUAAUUCAGACCACGCAAUUGUAUUGGUGUAAUCACGUUGCCGGGAUUGUCAUUAGAGCCGAGAAAAAAAACCAAGUCCACCUUCUUCUCGCUGUUACUAUUGUUGUCGUCAACUUUCUUCCCGCCAUCACCACUGUUCUCACCCAUAAUCUCUUAUGGUGCCUGAUCUGGUAUGAGAAAAAAAAAUGUGAUUAAUUUUCCCUAGGAUAUUUGCUAGCUCGUGAUACCAUGAUAAAUUUCACCACAAUAGAAUUCUUUGAAUUGUGUGUCUCCCUUCAUUCAUCAGGACCACUAUAUAUAUAUACACAUUAUAAUCAACUGUUACAGACUGUUACAUAUCUACAAGCCUUAGGGAUUCCAGCCAUUAAUCACAACUAUAAUCAAGCUACUCCUAAAUAUAAGGUAACUGCAACACUCAGUAGCACCACAUUAAUCUGAAAUAAAUAACAAUAAUAUCACAAUAAUCCCAAUACUUUCCUUGGUGUAGAGGUAUUUCUCUUUU
rnacentral:lncRNA from 1 species